ACCAGCAAAAAAGAAAUUUAUAUUCCCAAACCCAUAUGCUGUUUUGCAUUAUGCACGGAAAUCGAAUGUCUGAGUAAACCACCGGUCUAUAAUAUAACAAUUACCCAUACCCGUUCUAUACUCUCUCUGCAAUGGAUCCAGCCACUUGCUUCGUUGUGGUGUAUCCCGUCUUGCCUAUCUCUCCGCUCUUCACGUCCUGACUGUGUCCCUCCUCCGCUUUCCGAAGCCUGGCCCUCACCUGCCCAACCUCCUCUGGAUUUAGCCCCUGGCGUUGUAGUUGGUACAGCUGCAUUGCAGCCUGCGCCUCCUCAUCGCGUUCUUCCUGGCUUAUCUCGGGACCUAAAAGCAUCCCAACGCACAUCAACGCCCAAGUGACGGCCAUGAAUAUGACAAAAACCUUCCCGUAAUCGAAUCUCUUCUCUCCAGUUUCGCUGUCUGGUAGUGGGAAUUUCUCUCCAAGGACCGACUGGAUAGUGGCGGACGCGGACGACACCAUGUUGCCCAACUGAUAAGUAAAACCCACCAUCAAGCCACGGAGAGCUGGUGGUGUUAGCUCUGAAAGGUGAAUGGGAAUGGGACCCCAGACACCGCCAACGAAGAAUUGCUCCAAAAACGCAGAGAUAAUGAGUGCAUUAGAGCGCGUAUAUACGUAUGCGGAAACCAACACACCGCCGCAGAUACAGCUUAUGAUCAUGACAAGGCGCCGGCCAUAAGGGGUGCUCAAAUAGCCCAUGGUGGGCCCCCCAAUAAUGGAGCCGAUUUGACCCACAACGGUGAUCGUUGUGGUGGCCGCCGGUGACGUACCUACCUGUUCCUUAAGGAAGGUCGGGUAGAGGUCCUGGCUACCGUGGGAGCAGAAAUUGAACGCUGACGUGAUCAGGACCAUGUACAGGAAGAGCACCCAGUUUUCCUGAAAUGCGCGUAUCCCGUCACCGAAGAACGUGCGCAGACCUGAAUGGCUGCCCUUGUUGACUUCCUCCGUUGAAGAUUCGGCACUCGCCAUCGCCACUUGCUCAGCUUUCAUGGCUAUGAAAUGGUUGGUUUCUGUCAGAUACCAGCGAAAGAUGAUGAGGACGACGGGCGGCCCUGCGGAGGCCCAGAACAAGCUUCUCCAGCCGUGGGGUGUAGUAGGCACAAAUGCACUGUACAAAGUUGCGGAAAUCAAAUAUCCCAACGCAUAUCCUUGUUGGAAUAAUCCGGACAUUAUACCUCUCGCUUCAUACGGGAGGUCCUCAAGAGCUGUCGCGGCAGCUGAUCCGAAUAUGCCUAGCAGUGAGAAAUGUGAAAAGUUAGUGGUUAAACGAGAUGGUUUCGAAAUAUUCGCCAAACCUGCAGGGAGAUUUCUCUUAUAUAUAUUUACCUCCCAUGGCAAUGCCGUAUAAGGCCCGGAUGGCCAGGAACUGCCGCAUAUUAAUAGCGAACCCGCCAGCCAACUCCAGAACCACGAACAGAACCAGGUUAACAAUCAUCGGCCAUUUCCUUCCGUAGCGGUCUGCGCAGACUCCAGAGAUGAACGCCCCCGCAGGGCGAAGCAUCAGCGUUACCGUGAUCGCCUGUUGCCCGAAAAAAAUUGUGAGAAUAAUGACGAAAAUUGCCAGAACACAAAGGUAGUCAUUGACCUGAAAUGCCUGCGCAAUCUCCGUGACACAUAAAGAAACCACGAAAAAGUCGACACCGGCCCAAGUCCAUGAGAAAAACCCAGCUGAGAAAAACAGCCAUUGUUGCCGGUUUAGCUCGCGAAUGAUAUGAUAUGGGUUUCUCAACUUGGUCUACAGAAGCGGGGAGAUGUUAGCCUUAGCAUGGCAUGCUGUGCUCAUACCGAUAUAUGAGAGUCUAUAAAAGAAAUGCGUGAUGAAGGUGUAUUACCUCUGGCGGCUUGAGACUCGAAAUCCUCGACGCGCAAUACCGUUUUAUCUUAGCGGGCGAGUAGAACCACCCAGAUGCCAUAUGAUUCCUCAUCUUGAAUGUUGGAGAUUAACCCGUUUACAUCUUCUCUCGCAUCAGGAUGCUAAAAUAGAAGCCUCAGGUAUGUGAGGGCUUAACGAGUGUGGGUCAUUUACCAGGGGGAAAAGGGGCAGUUCAAGUCAAUUAAUUGAUCAAAAGAAUGGAACGGCAGGUUCAUUAAUUCCAUACAUCCAAUCUAGAUCUGUGCGUCCCUUUGCUGCCGUGAUCGCUGAGUCAAGUACAGAGCUAUCCUUUAGAUAUAUAUAUUUCAUCCAAUAUCCUCUCAAAAUUCGGGAAUGAAGGGUUAUUUAUGGGAAGUACGGGAGCAAAAAAUAGGCAAGGCAAUCCAUGUGCGUCAUCGGGGAACCCCCCAUGGGCACGCUUUUCAUGUUACCAAGCGUCACGCCAUUCGAGAGUAUGGGAACGACCCGGACUAUUCAAGGGCCUUGACUUGACUUUUACCCGCAACCAUACCUCCCUUUUCGAAGAGGCGAGGGAAUUUGGAAGGCCAAAUUGUGCACGGCCUCAAACUCAAUGCAUCUUCUCCAUAGAUUCCCCACACAACAGAUGUUUUUGUAUGAAGAUGUUACUAUGCUAUCUAGUACAAACUUGCAAAAAUAUUAUUAGCUCAC
rnacentral:sRNA from 1 species